rnacentral:tRNA from 1 species
GGAGAGGUGGCCGAGCGGCCUAAGGCGCUUGCCUGCUAAGCAAGUGUGGGAGUUUUUCCCACCGAGGGUUCGAAUCCCUCCCUCUCCGCCA